UGUCCACUUCAUCCUAAAAACAUGACCUACUUAUAUCUCAUAUUAUUACUCAUGUUUCCAAAGUGAAGAAAGCCUUAUAACUGGGAAAUUGUUGGUUCAAAUCCCAAGAGAGAUCUUCCUGUAUUGUUUCUGAACCAGGUACUUUACUAAAACCCUUGCUGUGAAAAUAAUCUGUUGUUUAAAUGAUAUGUUACUUUGAUAAAAUAUGCUAUUUGUAGGUUAUAUUUACUGGCGAUGGACUGGCAUCUUGUUCAGUGUGCCCUGGCCUUGCAUCCUUUGGUACCGGGAUAAACUCUGGACUGCUGCGACCCUAAUCAGGACAAGCAGCUAUGGAAAAGCUCUCUUCUCACGCAUCGACACAGAGCGCUUUAACACAGGCAUAAGGCAAGAAAAACAAAUACAUCAGAGAAGAAACAAAGAAGACAGUUGACUAAUGACUACCAAAUAAAGCUCCAGACAGCUGAA
rnacentral:lncRNA from 1 species